rnacentral:rRNA from 1 species
AUUGAACGCUGGCGGCAUGCUUUACACAUGCAAGUCGAACGGUAACAGGUCUUCGGAUGCUGACGAGUGGCGAACGGGUGAGUAAUGCAUCGGAACGUGCCCAGUCGUGGGGGAUAACGUAGCGAAAGCUACGCUAAUACCGCAUACGAUCUAUGGAUGAAAGCGGGGGACUCGCAAGAGCCUCGCGCGAUUGGAGCGGCCGAUGUCAGAUUAGGUAGUUGGUGGGGUAAAGGCUCACCAAGCCAACGAUCUGUAGCUGGUCUGAGAGGACGACCAGCCACACUGGAACUGAGACACGGUCCAGACUCCUACGGGAGGCAGCAGUGGGGAAUUUUGGACAAUGGGCGCAAGCCUGAUCCAGCAAUGCCGCGUGCAGGAAGAAGGCCUUCGGGUUGUAAACUGCUUUUGUACGGAACGAAAAGGUCCUG